GGGGAAUUAGCUCAGUUGGGAGAGCGCAUGACUGGCAGUCAUGAGGUCAGGGGUUCAAAUCCCCUAUUCUCCACCA
rnacentral:tRNA from 2 species